rnacentral:rRNA from 1 species
CCUUUGAUGCAUACCUCGGGAACUGGGGCUAAUGCCUGAUAGAUAGAAAUGCCUGGAAUGGUUUUCUGUUGAAAGGGAGUUGAGACCAUGCAUUCAACUUCGUCUUAGGAUAGGGCCGCACCCGAUCAGGUUGUUGGUGAGGUAACGGCUCACCAUGCCUAUAACCGGUACGGGCCGUGAGAGCGGGAGCCCGGAGAUGGGCACUGAGAUAAGGGCCCAGGCCCUACGGGGCGCAGCAGGCGCGAAGACUCCGCAAUGCGCGAAAGCGUGACGGGGUCAUCCCGAGUGCCAUCCGCUGAGGGUAGCUUUUGUUCGGUGUAAGGAGCCGGACGAAUAAGGGGAGGGCAAGCCUGGUGUCAGCCGCCGCGGUAAUACCAGCUCCCCGAGUGGUUGGGACGAUUAUUGGGUCUAAAGCGUCCGUAGCCUGUUGAAGAAGUUCUCCGUUAAAUCCAACGAUUCAAUCGUUGGGCUGCGGGGAUUACUCUUCAGCUUGGGGGCGGAGGAUGUCGACGGUAGUCCCGGGGUAGGGGCGAAAUCCUAUAAUCCCGGGAGGACCACCAGUGGCGAAGGCGGUCGACAAAUACGCGCCCGACGGUGAGGGACGAAAGCUGGGGGAGCGAACGGGAUUAGAUACCCCGGUAGUCCCGGCUGUAAACGAUGCAGGCUAGGUGUUAGGAUGGCUACGGGCCGUUCUAGUGCCGCAGGGAAGCCGUUAAGUCUGCCACCUGGGAAGUACGGUCGCAAGGCUGAAACUUAAAGGAAUUGGCGGGGGAGCAC